rnacentral:rRNA from 1 species
AGCAGCCGCCACGGUAAUACGAAGGGUGCAAGCGUUAAUCGGAAUUAAUGGGCGUAAAGCGUGCGUAGGCGGUUUGUUAAGUCUGUUGUGAAAUCCCCGGGCUCAACCUGGGAAUGGCAAUGGAUACUGGCAAGCUAGAGUGUGUCAGAGGAUGGUGGAAUUCCCGGUGUAGCGGUGAAAUGCGUAGAGAUCGGGAGGAACAUCAGUGGCGAAGGCGGCCAUCUGGGACAACACUGACGCUGAGGCACGAAAGCGUGGGGAGCAAACAGGAUUAGAGACCCGCGUAGUCCCUGUCUCUUAUAC